rnacentral:rRNA from 1 species
GACGAACGCUGGCGGCGUGCUUAACACAUGCAAGUCGAACGGAAAGGCCCUGCUUUUGUGGGGUGCUCGAGUGGCGAACGGGUGAAUAACACGUGAGUAACCUGCCCUUGACUUUGGGAUAACUUCAGGAAACUGGGGCUAAUACCGGAUAGGAGCUCCUGCUGCAUGGUGGGGGUUGGAAAGUUUCGGCGGUUGGGGAUGGACUCGCGGCUUAUCAGCUUGUUGGUGGGGUAGUGGCUUACCAAGGCUUUGACGGGUAGCCGGCCUGAGGGGGUGACCGGCCACAUUGGGACUGAGAUACGGCCCAGACUCCUACGGGAGGCAGCAGUGGGGAAUAUUGCACAAUGGGCGGAAGCCUGAUGCAGCAACGCCGCGUGCGGGAUGACGGCCUUCGGGUUGUAAACCGCUUUCGCCUGUGACGAAGCGUGAGUGACGGUAAUGGGUAAAGAAGCACCGGCUAACUACGUG